UGGGGAAUCUUGCACAAUGGGCGAAAGCCUGAUGCAGCGACGCCGCGUGAGCGAAGAAGGCCUUUGGGCCGUAAAGCUCUGUCGGGAGGGAAGAAGGAAUCGACGGUACCUCCCAAGGAAGCCCCGGCUAACUACGUGCCAGCAGCCGCGGUAACACGUAGGGGGCGAGCGUUAUCCGGAAUCAUUGGGCGUAAAGGGUGCGUAGGCGGCCUUUUAAGCGCGGGGUCUAAGGCGGUGGCCCAACCACCGUUCGCCCCGCGAACUGGGAGGCUGGAGUGUCGGAGAGGGAAGCGGAAUUCCUAGUGUAGCGGUGAAAUGCGUAGAUAUUAGGAGGAACACCAGUGGCGAAGGCGGCUUACUGGACUGUAACUGACGUUGAGGCUCGAAAAGCGUGGGGAGCAAACAGGAUUAGAUACCC
rnacentral:rRNA from 1 species